rnacentral:rRNA from 1 species
AUUGAACGCUGGCGGCAGGCCUAACACAUGCAAGUCGAACGAGUGGCGGACGGGUGAGUAAUGUCUUGGAAACUGCCCGAUGGAGGGGGAUAACUACUGGAAACGGUAGCCAAUACCGCAUACCAUCGGAUGUGCCCAGAUGGGUUUAGCUAGUAGGUGGUGUAACGGCUCACCUAGGCGACGAUCCCUAGCUGGUCUGAGAGGAUGACCAGCCACACUGGAACUAAGACCCGCGCCAUACUCCUACAGGGGGCAGCAGUGGGGAAUAGUGCACAAUGGGCGCAAGCCUGAUGCAGCCAUGCAGAGAGCAUGAAGAAGGCCUUCGGGUGGGAAGGUACUUUCAGCGAGGAAGCGUUACUCGCAGAAGAAGCACCGGCUAACUCCGUGCCAGCAGCCGCGGUAAUAC